GCCCAGCCAGUAUGAUGGAUAUGACCCUCGGCUCGUAACCGAGUGGGUUUGGGUUCGAAUCCCGAGUAAGGCA
rnacentral:tRNA from 1 species